GUGACAACCUGAUCCCCCAAAUAAAAGAUAAAGAAGACCCUCAAGAGAUGCCCCACUCUCCCUUGGGCUCUAUGCCAGAGAUAAGAGAUAAUUCUCCAGAACCAAAUGACCCAGAAGAGCCCCAGGAGGUGCCCAGCACACCUUCAAACAAGAAAGGAAAGAAAAGAAAAAGAUGUAUCUGGUCAACUCCAAAAAGGAGACAUAAGAAAAAAAGCCUCCCAAGAGGGACAGCCUCGCCUAGACAUGGAAUCCAAAAGAAGCUCAAAAGGGUGGAUCAGGUUCCUCAAAAGAAAGAUGACUCAACUUGGAACUCCACGGUAGUGACAAGGGCCCAAAAGACGAGAACUGAAUGUGUCCGAAAGUCCAGAUCAGAGGAGAUCAUUGAUGGCACUUCAGAAAUGAAUGAAGGAAAGAGGUCCCAGAAGACGCCUAGCACACCACGAAGGGACACACAAGGUAAAACUUGGAGAUCGCUGGUCUCAGAGUACAGUCACCAGGAAUCUAAAUUCAGAGCUGUUUUACACUAAGGCAAUAUUUCUUAACUUUUCUUUUUCAUUAUCACUGUGCUAGAGAGCCCUUCUGGAUUUUUUUUCUUAAUCAAGACCCUUCCCAUAUUUACUACUACAAAUAUAUGUCCAUUUUAUGUAAUGUGUCCAUAUGUAUGUAUGUAUAUCUGCGCUUUAUAAGAUUUUUCUCAGCACUCAAGAAUGAGUUUUUCCACUACUGGCAGCAAUAUCACCGUUACUGAGAAUGAGUAUCCUAAGUAUAUUCAUGGUACUGUACUGAAAGUACAGCUUGUCCAAAGUACAGCUUGAUCCAACCCAUGGAUCAAGCUUUUUCCUAGGAUUCCUAUCUCCAUGUUUCUCAUG
rnacentral:sRNA from 1 species